rnacentral:rRNA from 1 species
CAGCAGCCACGGUAAUACGUAGGGUGCAAGCGUUAAUCGGAAUUACUGGGCGUAAAGCGUGCGCAGGCGGUUUGUUAAGACAGAUGUGAAGUCCCUGGGCUCAACCUGGGAACUGCAUUUGUGACUGGCAAGCUAGAGUCUGGCAGAGGGGGGUAGAAUUCCACGUGUAGCAGUGAAAUGCGUAGAGAUGUGGAGGAACACCGAUGGCGAAGGCAGCCCCCUGGGUCAAGAUUGACGCUCAUGCACGAAAGCGUGGGGAGCAAACAGGAUUAGAUACCCCUGUAGUCCCUGUCUCUUAUAC